GAUCAUGGCUCAGGAUGAACGCUAGCGGCAGGCCUAACACAUGCAAGUCGAGGGGUAGUUACUUUCGGGUAAUGAGACCGGCGCACGGGUGCGUAACGCGUAUGCAAUCUACCUUUUUACAGGGGAAUAGCCCAGAGAAAUUUGGAUUAAUGCCCCAUAGUAUAUAUGAAUCGCAUGGUUUAUAUAUUAAAGUUCCAACGGUAAAAGAUGAGCAUGCGUCCCAUUAGUUAGUUGGUAAGGUAACGGCUUACCAAGACGAUGAUGGGUAGGGGUCCUGAGAGGGAGAUCCCCCACACUGGUACUGAGACACGGACCAGACUCCUACGGGAGGCAGCAGUGAGGAAUAUUGGACAAUGGGCGCAAGCCUGAUCCAGCCAUGCCGCGUGCAGGAAGAAGCAUCUAUGGUGUGUAAACUGCUUUUGUACAGGAAGAAACACUCCCUCGUGAGGGAGCUUGACGGUACUGUAAGAAUAAGGAUCGGCUAACUCCGUG
rnacentral:rRNA from 1 species